rnacentral:rRNA from 1 species
AGCCUGAUGCAGCAACGCCGCGUGAGGGACGACGGCCUUCGGGUUGUAAACCUCUUUUAGUAGGGAAGAAGCGAAAGUGACGGUACCUGCAGAAAAAGCACCGGCUAACUACGUGCCAGCAGCCGCGGUAAUACGUAGGGUGCAAGCGUUGUCCGGAAUUAUUGGGCGUAAAGAGCUCGUAGGCGGUUUGUCGCGUCUGCUGUGAAAACCCGAGGCUCAACCUCGGGCCUGCAGUGGGUACGGGCAGACUAGAGUGCGGUAGGGGAGAAUGGAAUUCCUGGUGUAGCGGUGGAAUGCGCAGAUAUCAGGAGGAACACCGAUGGCGAAGGCAGUUCUCUGGGCCGUAACUGACGCUGAGGAGCGAAAGCGUGGGGAGCGAACAGGAUUAGAUACCCUGGUAGUCCACGCCGUAAACGUUGGGCGCUAGAUGUGGGGACCAUUCCACGGUUUCCGUGUCGCAGCUAACGCAUUAAGCGCCCCGCCUGGGGAGUACGGCCGCAAGGCUAAAACUCAAAGGAAUUGACGGGGGCCCGCACAAGCGGCGGAGCAUGCGGAUUAAUUCGAUGCAACGCGAAGAACCUUACCAAGGCUUGACAUAUACGAGAACGCUCUAGAAAUAGAGAACUCUUUGGAC